rnacentral:rRNA from 1 species
GUACACUCCUGCGGGAGGCAGCAGUGGGGAAUAUUGGACAAUGGGCGCAAGCCUGAUCCAGCCAUGCCGCGUGAGUGAUGAAGGCCCUAGGGUUGUAAAGCUCUUUCACCGGUGAAGAUAAUGACGGUAACCGGAGAAGAAGCCCCGGCUAACUUCGUGCCAGCAGCCGCGGUAAUACGAAGGGGGCUAGCGUUGUUCGGAUUUACUGGGCGUAAAGCGCACGUAGGCGGACUAUUAAGUCAGGGGUGAAAUCCCGGGGCUCAACCCCGGAACUGCCUUUGAUACUGGUAGUCUUGAGUUCGAGAGAGGUGAGUGGAAUUCCGAGUGUAGAGGUGAAAUUCGUAGAUAUUCGGAGGAACACCAGUGGCGAAGGCGGCUCACUGGCUCGAUACUGACGCUAAGGUGCGAAAGCGUGGGAAGCAAACAGGAUUAGAUACCCCAGUAGUCC